UCCCUCCACAGAAGAAAGGCAAAAGGGAAAUAACACAAAGUGUAUCAUCCAGUGAAGAAUAACAUUUGUUUGAAGAGUUCAUUAGUUCAAUUUAAGACAGAGAAGAAUAGAAACUGCAGCCAACAUCUAGCCAAUAUUUAUUUACUCCACAACAGGCCAUCGGACUACAUCUUGAGUUAUCGGACUACAUCUUGAGUUAGGACAAUUCAAUAAAAAAGUUACCUUCCAUAUGUCCAUUUAAAAGAGACAGUUUAGAUUUAGGAAUUUAAACACCUUCUUCAAAUGGACAUAGUAGCAAAUGCUCAUAUUAUCUGAACUCAAGUCAGAAUUUGUCCAAGGCUGUUUUCCUCCAGAUAAGCUUUUAUUAUUUUGUAAAAACGAGGGCACUCCAAGGGGCAGUCUACAGAUUCAACACUAUUCCUAUCAAACUACCGAUGUCAUUGUUCACAGAAUUGGAAGAAAACUAUUAUAAAAUUUAUAUGAAACCAAAAGAGUCCGAAUACCUAAAGCAAUCCUCAGGAAAAAGAGCAAACCUGGAGGCAUCACAUUAGCCAACUUCAAACCAUACCAUAAGGCU
rnacentral:lncRNA from 10 species